rnacentral:rRNA from 1 species
GGACUACUAGGGUAUCUAAUCCCAUUCGCUCCCCUGGCUUUCGUUCCUCAGCGUCAGUUGCAGCCCAGCGAGUCGCUUACGCCACUGGUGUUCUUCCCAAUAUCUACGCAUUUCACCGCUACACUGGGAAUUCCACUCGCCUCUACUGCACUCCAGUCUGCCAGUAUCCAAUGCAGGUCCGAGGUUGAGCCUCGGUAUUUGACAUCAGACUUAACAAACCACCUACGAACUCUUUACGCCCAAUAAAUCCGGACAACGCUUGCAUCCUACGUCUUACCGCGGCUGCUGGCAC